UUCAUUACACAAAUCAUUGAUGUCAAUAGUGUAUACGUUAUUUUGUUUCAAUGCAAUCAUAGAUAUAUUUUUGUGUGGUUUUUCAAUGAUGCAAGCAUUAGAUUCAAAUCUUAUAAUAUAUCCUUUAUCACAUAAUUGACUAAUGCUCAAGAGGUUAUGUUUUAAACCAUCAACUAGCAAAACAUCUUCAAUAGAGAAGUUGGAUUUGUUACCUAUGGUUCCUUUGCCAAUGAUUUUACCCUUGUUGUUGUCUCCGAAGGUGACAUAGCCUUCGUCUAUGCUAGUGAGCUUAGAGAAUUGAGAUGGAUCUCCGGUCAUAUGCCUUGAGCAUCCACUAUCAAGGUACCAUCUCUUGCUCCUAGCUUGCGAUGGUUUAGUUUUCUACAAGAAAGGAUGAUGUUUAGGUACCCAUUUGCUUUUGGGUGCCUCACAAAUAGAUCUACAUUUCUU
rnacentral:lncRNA from 1 species